GUAAAGCUGGGGACCUUAUGGCCUGGCGCUUUGAGAUUAGCCUGCGUCCGAUUAGCUAGUUGGUGGGGUAAAUGCCUACCAAGGCGACGAUCGGUAGCUGGUCUGAGAGGAUGGUCAGCCACACUGGGACUGAGACACGGCCCAGACUCCUACGGGAGGCAGCAGUGGGGAAUAUUGGACAAUGGGGGGAACCCUGAUCCAGCAAUGCCGCGUGUGUGAAGAAGGCCUAUGGGUUGUAAAGCACUUUCAGUGGGGAGGAGGAUGCUCAGGUUAAGAGCUGG
rnacentral:rRNA from 1 species